rnacentral:rRNA from 1 species
AGAACGAACGCUGGCGGCAUGCCUAACACAUGCAAGUCGAACGAGACCUUCGGGUCUAGUGGCGCACGGGUGCGUAACGCGUGGGAAUCUGCCCUUGGGUUCGGGAUAACAGUUGGAAACGACUGCUAAUACCGGAUGAUGUCUUCGGACCAAAGAUUUAUCGCCCAGGGAUGAGCCCGCGUAGGAUUAGCUUGUUGGUGAGGUAAGAGCUCACCAAGGCGACGAUCCUUAGCUGGUCUGAGAGGAUGAUCAGCCACACUGGGACUGAGACACGGCCCAGACCUCCUACGGGAGGCAGCAGUGGGGAAUAUUGGACAUGGGCGAAAGCCUGAUCCAGCAAUGCCGCGUGAGUGAUGAAGGUCCUUAGGGUUGUAAAGCUUCGUUUACCCGGGAUGAUAAUGACACGGUACCGGAGAAUAACGCCCCGACUAACUCCGCGCCA